UACGUAGGGUGCGAGCGUUGUCCGGAAUUAUUGGGCGUAAAGGGCUCGUAGGCGGUUUGUCGCGUCGGGAGUGAAAACUCAGGGCUCAACCCUGAGCGUGCUUCCGAUACGGGCAGACUAGAGGUAUGCAGGGGAGAACGGAAUUCCUGGUGUAGCGGUGGAAUGCGCAGAUAUCAGGAGGAACACCGGUGGCGAAGGCGGUUCUCUGGGCAUGACCUGACGCUGAGGAGCGAAAGCAUGGGGAGCGAACAGG
rnacentral:rRNA from 1 species